AACGAACGCUGGCGGCAUGCCUAACACAUGCAAGUCGAACGAGACCUUCGGGUCUAGUGGCGCACGGGUGCGUAACGCGUGGGAACCUGCCUUUAGGUUCGGAAUAACUCAGAGAAAUUUGAGCUAAUACCGGAUGAUGUCUUCGGACCAAAGAUUUAUCGCCUUUAGAUGGGCCCGCGUUGGAUUAGCUAGUUGGUGGGGUAAAGGCCUACCAAGGCGACGAUCCAUAGCUGGUCUGAGAGGAUGAUCAGCCACACUGGGAUUGAGACACGGCCCAGACUCCUACGGGAGGCAGCAGUGGGGAAUAUUGGACAAUGGGCGAAAGCCUGAUCCAGCAAUGCCGCGUGAGUGAUGAAGGCCUUAGGGUUGUAAAGCUCUUUUACCCGAGAUGAUAAUGACAGUAUCGGGAGAAUAAGCUCCGGCUAACUCCGUG
rnacentral:rRNA from 1 species